rnacentral:lncRNA from 1 species
UAGCUUUAUUCUUGGCACAUAUGUGUGAAUGUGUCCAACAAUUCUGAUCUUUACUCUUUGAAAAUGUGAGAACAGAAACCGACAAGCUGAAGUUGAUGAAGGUGGAUACAGAGCAACAGUGAUCUGAUUAACGAGGACCACAAAGGGCCCCAGGCCCUGGUCUGCUCUGCAGACCUUGGGUUGUUUACAACCAGCAUCAAUGAUUUGACUGAAGGCUUAUGGAAUUAAUCCAGUUUGAGUGACUUCCUGGAGAAAUAUAUAAAGGGAAGAGGGGACUGGAUCCUUUAGUGAAUUCACUGGUUAAAUAUUACACACCAUCAAGGAUGGGUACGGAUCCCCAUUAAAAAAAAAAAAAGGUAGGAAGAUCUUUGACAGAUUGAAAUAGGAAAUGGGAAAAAAGAGAAGUCAGCAUAAAAAUUAGGAACUAUGGGUUCUUAGGUAAUUUUGCUUUCUGAUCUGGAAAAAUCAUAUUUCAUGCACAGUUUAUUUCUUUUCUUUGUUGUUUAAGUAUAAAUCAUGAAAGACUUUUAAUUAUAGCAAAAUGAUUACCAGUGUUUUCCAAGGCAGAGUGGGUUUUAUUCCUUUCAGGGUAAACUGAUGAUACAUGAUCCUGUUGUACCUUUCAUAAGACAGAGGCGUGUUUUGUUAACCUGCAUAUCACUGCUUUGUGUAAAACAGGGACUCGCGUUAUUUGGAGCCCACGUGCCCAGGGUGGGAGCUCACUAGCCAGCAGGUGGCAGCUGUCGCAGGGAGGUUCUGCGCCCGCGCAACGCUCUCUCCCGCCAGCGCCCACGCAGGCCCCGCCUGACCUCAACUCCUGAAAAAGUCCCGAGGAGAUUGGAGAGGAGAAGCUGGAGGUAGCUGAGAAGGCUGAGACUAAGGAGGAAUUUCAGGGUGCACGGACUGCUCUAGUUCCCAAAUGUGCUGCUCCAGCCUGAGGUCACAGACGCGGCUGCCGAAGCGCAGGUGUCCUGCGGCCUGUUCAGCGGUCCCUGCGGAGGCUGGAGCGUGCGGCCCGCUGCUGAGGACGGUCGGCGGCUCCCACUGCCCUGGCCACCGAGUGGGAGAGGAAGAAAUCACUGUCCUGGGAGGUUACUGUGUGAAGUCAUCCAAGUCAUUUCUCUGCUUCCUAGAAGUAUGGGAAAGCUGUAACUCAUAGCUUGAUGAAAUACUCCUAGAGGAACUUAAUAUGAAAUGGAUGGCCAGCUGGGAAAAAGGGAUUAUUUGAAAUGUAUGUGUCUGUGAGGUCCUUAAUGUCAAGGGAGAAAAUGUUGUUGUUUGUGUCCUUGUAUGAAGUUUAUUUUGUAAAUGUUUCAUGGACACUUGGGAAGUUUUUUUACAAUUGAUGAGUUCUGACCUAAUCAAUUAAAUUACUUUCUGUCUCCACUAUAAUGUUCACUUCGAAAAUAUGAUUAAAGAAAUUAAGAACUUUUUUUUUCCAAACCAGCCAAUUGAGUAAAUUUCAUGAACAUUAUAGAAUAUGUUCAGUUUAUAUUGUCUAAAUGUUCUAAACAUUCUAUGUACCUUUAAAAGAUGCUUGAGCUGCCUGAUAAAUAGGGUUAUCAAUUUCGCUAACUGCAGUUAAAUAGGUUUUAAAAAAAGAAUGAAGAGAUAACAUUAAUUUAUGUAUAUUGAAUAAAUCUUUAUAGAUUACCUAACUAUAUUCAAAAUAUAUACUAUACGACCAAUAAGAUCCACAGAUUAAGAAGCUAGGUAAGCUUAUAUUACAUAACGUCCCAUUAUUUUUCUUCAUAAACUACAGUGAGAUCUUUAAUUUUAUUUUUUCUUAACUCUUACCACAACAAAGAAAGAAAAUGAAGACUUUUUGAAAGAAUACAAACAGACUGGGCAUUACAAUCCAGGAAACAUAUACUUCUUUGUUUGGGACUAUAAACAAAUACAUAAAACAGCCAAAGUGAAAAAAAAAAUAAGAAUUGUUGAGUUAUAGGCUCCUAUCUCUGAACAUGGCAGGAAAUAGAAAUUAGGACUGAAAUGGGUAAAAUCAUUGAGUGUACAGCCACAAUUUCAGGAAAGAAAUGCAGACUUUCAGUUACAAUAUUGUGUUUACAUGAGUUAUAUGACCUCCAUAUAGGUCUGUGUUCUCAUUUCUGUCACAGGAUAGUGAUACUUUUAUAUGAGAAACAAAGAAAAAUAAUAAUACCUAAUGCUCACUGAAUGGUGACUAGAGACCAGCAAAACACUUAAAGCAUUUUACAUCUACUAACUCAUGCAAUCCUCAUAAAGGCCUUUUGAGGUAUGUAAUUCUAUCUCUCCAUUUGACCAAUGAGAAGAUGAAAGCAAAGCAAGGUUAAUUUGUGAUUCUUUUGUUAGAAAACAUGGGCAGUUUGAAUACAGGUCAUCCAUCUCUUAAGACUGGUGUGUGUAUGUGUGUGUGUGUGUAUUUGAAAAUAUACAUAAUGUAAACUUUACCAUUUUAACUAUUGUCAAGCAUGCACGUUAGUGGUAUUAAGUACAUUCACAAUAUUGUGCAACCAUCACCACCAGCCAUUUCCACAACUUCUUUGUCAUCCUGAAGAGAAAUUCUGUACCCUUUAGAUAAUAAAUCCUCAUUCCUCUUCUCUCCAGACCCAUAAUUUGUCUUUCGAAUUACUACUGACUUCUUUUUGGGUAAAUAAAGUAAAACUGAAUCUCUUUAAUAAAGAGGAAGCACAAAAACUGAAAAAGAAAGAAACAAAACACCAAAAAUCAGCAAAAAUUAUAUUAACAAAAAUCCUUUAUAAUGAAAAGUCUAAAGGAUGUAUUUUAGGCAGAAUGAAAAUAAUCCCAGAGGGAAGUUGUGAGUGCAAGAAGGGGGAGUUAUGAGUAAAGGUAUUGUUAAAUUUGUGAUUAAAUCUAAGCAAAUGUUGAAUGUAUAAAAUAAUAAUAAUAAAAUAUUUAAUUUCUGGCAUUAAAAAUGUAAUAGAAAUAAAUUAUCAGCCAAUGUAAAUUGCUAUGUAAAUUGAAAAGGAGAUACGAUCAGAGUUAAAGCAUCUAAGAUUCUAUUUUUUUUUAUUUUUCAAGAGGAAAUAAAUACUUUGACAAUUCUAAACUUUGUUAAGUAUGAAGUUUAAAAUAAAUAGAAUAGCUUCUAGAAGAAUAGACAAAGAUAUAUAACCCACUAAACAAAUUGAGAAGAAAAAAGUAAAAUGAUAAAAAAAGAAGACAUAAACUCAGUCUAAAUGAACAUAAGAAAGAUGAAAGAAACGCACACACCUACCAAAACAAAACAAAAGCAAAAAAUGGUUGAUACAGUUAUAGUGGAACUUAAAACUUAAUACAUACCACAAGAUAUUUACAUUAGAAAAGUAAAAACACCAACAUUAGUGAGUUUAGCUAAAAAAUUUAAAGAAACAAACACAAAGGACGUAGAAGGAAAAGAAUAUCAAAGAUAAAAUCAUAACUUAAUGAAAAUUUAAAAAUACAAUGAAAGUAAUCAGCAAAGCCUAAAGUUGAAAAGAUUUGAGAAAAUUAAUAAUAUAUGAAAACUCCUGGCUUGAUUAAUCAAAGACACAAUAUAAAAAAUAUAUUUGGGUUUUUUUAAAGAUUUUUUAUUUAUUCAUGAGAGACAGAGAGAGAGACAGAGAUAUAGGCAGAGGGAGAAGUAGACUCCCACGGGGACGCCAAUGGGGGACUAGAUCCCAGGACCCUAGAGCCGAAGGCAGACGCUCAACCACUAAGCCACCCAAGUGCCCCUAAAAAAGAUAUCUGUAAUGAAAAGGAGACAUAGUUAUAAAUGCUGCAGAAAUUAAACACAUUAUGAUGAGUUGUUAGUAGCAAAAUUAGUAUCAAAUGUUUUGAAAAUGUAGACAAAAUAAAUUCCUAAAAACGGAAAAUGUCAGAAUUGACGCAAGAAGUAAAAAGUUGAAUAGUCUAUAAUCAUUAAAAGUCUUUUCUGCAAAGAGAACAUCAGGCCCAAAUGGCUUUAUAGCAGAUAUUCCCAUUGUGCACAACGUUUCAAAGAAUAAAAAAAAAAAAGAAUGUCCUCAUAACACCUUUAUGGAGUUCUCAAACUGUGAUGUCAAGGAAAACCAGGAAAAAAAUUACUCACCAAGGAGUGUAAAUUCAGAAAAUUGAGCACAGAAUGGUUUAAAAGAAAUAGUACAUCAUGACACAACUGGAAUUACUCCAAAAACAUAGGAUCAAAUUUAUAAUAGAUUAUUACUCUCACUAUACUAAUAGAAUAAAAAGAGGAAAAUUAUCACCUCAAUAAAUAUGAAAAGGGGAUUUGAUAAAAUACAGUAUCUUUUUUUGUUUUUUU